rnacentral:rRNA from 1 species
GAUGAACGCUGGCGGCGUGCCUAAUACAUGCAAGUCGAGCGAACAGACGAGGAGCUUGCUCCUCUGACGUUAGCGGCGGACGGGUGAGUAACACGUGGAUAACCUACCUAUAAGACUGGGAUAACUUCGGGAAACCGGAGCUAAUACCGGAUAACAUGUUGAACCGCAUGGUUCAACAGUGAAAGACGGUUUUGCUGUCACUUAUAGAUGGAUCCGCGUCGCAUUAGCUAGUUGGUAAGGUAACGGCUUACCAAGGCAACGAUGCGUAGCCGACCUGAGAGGGUGAUCGGCCACACUGGAACUGAGACACGGUCCAGACUCCUACGGGAGGCAGCAGUAGGGAAUCUUCCGCAAUGGGCGAAAGCCUGACGGAGCAACGCCGCGUGAGUGAAGAAGGUCUUCGGAUCGUAAAACUCUGUUAUUAGGGAAGAACAAAUGUGUAAGUAACUAUGCACGUCUUGACGGUACCUAAUCUGAAAGCCACGGCUAACUACGUG